GGUUCCAUGGAGUAGUGGUUAGAACAUCUGCUUUAUACGCAGAAGGUUCUAGGUUAAUGCCCCAGCGGAGCCA
rnacentral:tRNA from 1 species